rnacentral:rRNA from 1 species
CAAAAACAUAGCCGCUUGUAAUUAAUAAGUGGUAAUUCCUGCCCAGUGACUAAUAUUCAACGGCCGCGGUACCCUAACCGUGCAAAGGUAGCAUAAUCACUUGCCCAUUAAUUGUGGGCUAGAAUGAACGGAUAAACGAAAUAGAACCUGUCUCUGUUAUUCCCAUAAAAAUUAUUUUUUAGAUGAAGAAAUCUAGAUAAAUUCGAAGGACAAGAAGACCCUAUAGAGCUUUAUUUACAUGGGUUAAACCCACUAAAAUUCGGUUGGGGCGACCAGGGUUAAAACACCCCCAAAAAAGAGACCAAUAAGUCAAAUAAAAGACCCUAAAAAGAUCUUAAAAACAAGCUACCUUAGGGAUAACAGGCUAAUCUCAUUAAAGAGUUCUUAUUAACAAUGAGGAUUGGCACCUCGAUGUUGGCUUAAGGAAUCAAUUUGGCGCAGAAGUCAAAUAAAGUUGGUUUGUUCAACCAUUAAUACCCUACGUGAUCUGA